rnacentral:lncRNA from 1 species
UUAAAAUAGCUUAAUUUCCGUUCAGUUUCAUUUUGGUGUAAUGUGUGGCAAUGUGUCCCCUCGCUCUCCUGUAUUGAUUCAAUGCCAGUCUCUGUGUGCCAGUUAGCCUGGCAGGUGAGCUAAUGGGCCCUCAUUUGUGCUGACUCCAAGGCACGGACCUGCCCCCACUGUGACAGGGUUCUCCUACCGACUCCUCCUUGCCGCCCUUCUACCCUCCUCCCGCUCUCCUCCUACCUUCUUCCCACCCUCCUGGUACCCUCCUCCAGCCCCCCACCGCUCACCUGCAGAGGACUACAUCAACACUAGUCCAGCUCCACAGAGGAUCCAGGAGGAUUAAUAGUCUGAUCUACAUUCAGCUCCACAGAGAAUCCAGGAGGAUUGAUAGUCUGAUCUACAUUCAGCUCCACAGAGAAUCCAGGAGGAUUAAUAGUCUGAUCUACACUUCACUGCCACAGAGAAUCCAGGAGGAUAAUAGUCUGAUCUACAUCAGCUCCACAGAGAACC